GAAAACUAUUUAUAUUUGUCUUAAGCAUAUUAAAUAUUAAAUAUAUUUUUAUAUAAUUUUAAGUUUUUAGAUUUAUCUCUCAAAAUAUUUUAGCAGUUUUAAAUAUAUUUCUAUUUUUAGUUAACCAGAAGUAAAUACUUAAUCUUGAUUAGUAAGUAAGGUAAAUUAAUUUUUUUACAUCUCUAAUAAUAUUUUUCUUAAUCAAAAUUCUAAUAAUGAAAACUCUUCUCUUUUGUGCCACUUUUAAAUUUGCAAUUAGAAUUUUUAUUCAUCCACAAUGCGUAUUGUUUCGUCCAUAUCAAGCACCCUUUCUCCGAGGAGAUCAGGGUGAGAUAGUCAACUUGAUGUUUUCAGGUUGAUGUUUUUAAUGCAUUUAUAGGAAAUUUUCAAUUUUGCUCGAAAUGGUUUAGGAGAGAGAAAAAUCACGUCAAAGUAUUAGAUAUACGAGGAAUGCUUCAAUACACCAGGUAAAAUAAAUCUAAUCGUUCAUAUUUUAAGAGCGAGAUUAACUUUUGCAUAGUGGUUACAUGCUCAACAGGUUACCAUUCGUAAGGAUAAUAUGAAAAAAAAAUACAAACUAAUUGCCAAAUUUGAUCAACCUUAUACAAAUAUUUGUUUCCUUAUUUAAUUUUGUUACUUACCAAAUUAAAUAGUGCUAAUUUGAUAAGUAAUAAAUCUUUAUAAAUUGAAUUUAAAAUUCAAUUUGAGCUUAAACUUUAAAAUUGUGUACAUUAAAUUCAAAUUUAAUUUUAAUUUUUAUUUACAGAAUGAAAAAAUUUAUGUUUAAAUGAAUAGUAUAUUUCAAUUCAAAUUGUUAAUUUGAUAUAUUAAAAUGACACGAAAUUUAGUUUCUUUUUACAGAGGAAAAAGGACGAUCAUUUGAAAUUUUUGGAAAGACAUAUUUGUGAUGAUAAAAUUGAUACUUCACUUAUCUUCUGUUAAAACAAUAAAAAGCGAGCUAAUGGUAACAAACAAAAUGAGCAAAUAUAAAUAUCACUGAACUUUAGAAGGAAUAAAUAUGAAAAUUUGAACUUUGUAGGGACAUCUACUAU
rnacentral:lncRNA from 1 species